GUAAUCGUGGCCGAGUGGUCUAGACGAUGGACUUGAAAUCCAUUGUGGUUUCCUCGCGCAGGUUUGAAUCCUGCAGACUACG